CUUUGUGAUACGCUUUCUAAGAGUCGAGUUGUUUGGGAAUGCAGCUCAAAAUGGGUGGUAAAUGCCAUCUAAGGCUAAAUAUUGGGGAGAGACCGAUAGCGAACAAGUACAGUGAUGGAAAGAUGAAAAGAACUUUGAAAAGAGAGUUAAACAGUACGUGAAAUUGCCAAAAGGGAAGGGUAGGAGGUCAGAGAUGCGGCCUGGGAUUCAGCCUUGCUUUUGCUUGGUGUUUUUCCCAGAUUGCAGGCCAACGUCGGUUUUGGGCACUGGAGAAGGGUAGGAGGAACGUGGCACCUCUCGGGGUGUGUUAUAGCCUCCUACUGGAUACAGCGA
rnacentral:rRNA from 1 species